rnacentral:rRNA from 1 species
AUGGACGACUUGGUGAAUAGUCUCCGCGGUUUAUUUUCGCUGGUUUUUUUUCGUCACCUCCCCCACCCCACCCCACCCCAUCCCACGCAGCCACCAAAAAAACCCACACCCAACAAAAAAAAUCCAUCGACCCCAUCCUUCGUUGCCCACUCCCAUCGAUCCCAUCUAUCGUUUCCGCCGCCGCCGCGAGAAAACUCCAUCGAUCCCCAUCCUUCCUUGCCCACUCCCAUCGAUCAUUGCCACCACCGCCGCCGAAUCCUCCGCCCCACCGCCAUUCCGCUCGUACGCCGCUGCCGCCAUUCCGCUCGCACGGUGCACCCCUCCCGCAUGCCGCCGCCAUCUCCCAUCGCAGUUGCUCGGGCAUGGAGCUCGUGUGCCAUGGGCCAUGAACGCCAUGGCAUCCAUGGCCGACAAGAAGGGACCCUCGGCCUCGGCCGUGGGCGCCUGAUCGGGACACGGGGUCGCCACGUCGGCCGCCGCCAGCGCCUCAUGGAUAUGCCUAGCGCCCUCUAUGCCGCCGCCCAUGAUCGGAUCACCACACCACCCGCGGAGGACGAUGCCUCCGUGCCUGGCCGUCGGCUCCUACACGCCCGAUGGGGCUGCCUCUCCAUGCAUUGA